rnacentral:rRNA from 1 species
GAUGAACGCUGGCGGCGUGCCUAAUACAUGCAAGUCGAGCGAAGCGGGGCCGGUGAAGUAACACGUGGAUAACCUCCUAUAAGACUGGGAUAACCUCGGGAAACCGGAGCUAACGCGGAUAAUUAUAGAUGGAUCCGGGAUGCAUUAGCUAGUUUGUAAGGUAACGGCUUACCAAGGCAACGAUGCAUAGCCGACCUGAGAGGGUGCUCGGCCACACUGGAACUGAUACACGGUCAAGACGCCUACGGGAGGCAGCAGGAGGGAAUCUUCCGAAAUGGGCGAAAGCCUGACGGAGCAACGCCGCGUGAGUGAUGAAGGUCUUCGGAUCGUAAAGCCCUGUUGUUAAGGAAGCGGUACUUAACCAGAAAGGGACGGCUAACUACGUGCCAGCAGCCGCGGUAAUAC